rnacentral:rRNA from 1 species
AGCUCCAGUAGCGUAUAUUAAAGUUGUUGCAGUUAAAACGUUCGUAGUUGAAAUUCGGCUUGCGCUGUGACAUCUGGAAGAUUCCGGAUUCACGCACCGCCGAUGGACUUCGGUUCAUAUUACCUUGAAGAAAUUAGAGUGUUCCAAGCAAGCUCUAGCCUGAAUAUCGCAGCAUGGAAUAAUACGUGAACUUCGUUCUCUGAAUUGUUGGUUCGAGAGUGCGAAGUAUGGUUAAUAGGAGCAGCUCCGGGGGCGUACGUAUUCAACUGUCAUAGGUGAAAUUCUUGGAUUAGUUGAAGACGAACAACUGCGAAAGCAUGCGUCAAGGAUGUUUUCA